GUUCGAGCAACUGUGUCCAUCAACAUUAACAGUUGGAAAGAUGUUAGUGUGGUGGAUAAAAAUAAAAUAUGGGACACAAUGAAGAAAACUUAUGAUUUGGACCCCAAACAAAAGCAACAGAUGUUGAAGGAUGCGGGAAAGUACUUCCGAAAUUGGAAGACUAAUCUUACUAGGGUACACGUUUACGACGCUUUGAAAAAAAUACCCAAAUGAGUUCCCGCCAGCUUUGCCAUUUGGAUUUGAGAAUGUCAUAACUCCGGAUGAAUGGUUAACGUUUGUGAACUCAAGAUUAAC